UGGGGAAUAUUGGACAAUGGGGGGAACCCUGGAUCCAGCCAUGCCGCGUGUGUGAAGAAGGCCUUAUGGUUGUAAAGCACUUUAAGCGAGGAGGAGGCUACUUUAGUUAAUACCUAGAGAUAGUGGACGUUACUCGCAGAAUAAGCACCGGCUAACUCUGUGACAG
rnacentral:rRNA from 1 species